rnacentral:rRNA from 1 species
AUUGAACGCUGGCGGCAGGCCUAACACAUGCAAGUCGAAUGGUAACAGGAAACAGCUUGCUGUUUCGCUAACGAGUGGCGGACGGGUGAGUAAUGUCUGGGAAACUGUCUGAUGGAGGGGGAUAACUACUGGAAACGGUAGCUAAUACCGCAUAACGUCGCAAGACCAAAGAGGGGGACCUUCGGGCCUCUUGCCGUCAGAUGUGCCCAGAUGGGAUUAGCUAGUAGGUGGGGUAACGGCUCACCUAGGCGACGAUCCCUAGCUGGUCUGAGAGGAUGACCAGCCACACUGGAACUGAGACACGGUCCAGACUCCUACGGGAGGCAGCAGUGGGGAAUAUUGCACAAUGGGCGCAAGCCUGAUGCAGCCAUGCCGCGUGUAUGAAGAAGGCCUUCGGGUUGUAAAGUACUUUCAGCGGGGAGGAAGGGAGUAAAGUUAAUACCUUUGCUCAUUGACGUUACCCGCAGAAGAAGCACCGGCUAACUCCGUG